rnacentral:rRNA from 1 species
GUAAAGUGGCGCACGGGUGAGUAACGCGUAGAUAACCUGUCUUCGAUGGUCUGGAAUAAUACGCCGAAAGGGGUACUAAUACCGGAUAUUCUUGCUUUUCAUAAGUUAUGCAAGCAAAGGUGGCCUCUGCAUAUGCUACUGCAUGAAGAGGGGUCUGCGUACCAUUAGCUAGUAGGUGGGGUAAUGGCCUACCUAGGCGACGAUGGUUAGCGGGUCUGAGAGGAUGAUCCGCCACACUGGCACUGGAACACGGGCCAGACUCCUACGGGAGGCAGCAGUGAGGAAUAUUGCGCAAUGGGGGAAACCCUGACGCAGCGACGCCGCGUGAGUGAGGAAGGCCUUCGGGUCGUAAAGCUCUGUCAAGAGGAAAGAAGUGUACAAUGGCUAAUACCUGUUGUAUUUGACGGUACCUCUAAAGGAAGCACCGGCUAACUCCGUGCCAGCCGCCGC